AUUGUUUGAGGCUCGAGUAACAUAUCUGACCGUCUUAAAAGUAAAUUAUGUUAACCAUGACAACUUGUCUUCUAUCAUCAAUUUCUAGGAAAAUGAUAACAUCUCCAAACAUAAAAAGAACAAAAGAUUGCAGGUAUAAUUUGGAUCUGUUUUGAAGUAUAGAUUCAUCACUACUAAUUAAGUGCUCUUCUUGAAGUAUUCAUGGCAAGAUGUUUGAAAAUUAUAACUGGACCGGCC
rnacentral:lncRNA from 1 species